AAUAAACGAAUUUACGAGUUUUUGAUAGAAUUUUUGACUCUUUGUUUUAUCUGAAAUUUUUUAUGAUUAAUAUUUUUAGUGUUAUUACAUGAUACAAAAUAGUACUUUACGUAUGACUAUUUUUUAAUUUUUAAUAUUUUUUAAAUAAGACGGAUAGUCAAGCGCUCGAUACAGAAAACUCUUAAA
rnacentral:pre_miRNA from 1 species